UACAGAGGGGGCAAGCGUUGUCCGGAUUUACUGGGCGUACAGCGCGCGCAGGCGGUUGCGUAUGUGAGCGGUGACAUCCGCGGGCUCAACCCGCGGCGGCCCGCUUACACAGCGCGACUGGAGGCAGGGAGAGGGAUGUGGAAUACCCGGUGGAGCGGUGAAAUGCGUAGAGAUCGGGUGGAACACCAGCGGCGAAGGCGGGUUGCUGGGCCGACACUGACGCUGAUGCGCGAAAGCCAGGGGAGCGAACGGG
rnacentral:rRNA from 1 species